rnacentral:rRNA from 1 species
CCUACGGGAGGCUGCAGUGGGGAAUAUUGCACAAUGGGGGAAACCCUGAUGCAGCGACGCCGCGUGAGUGAAGAAGGAUUUCGGUACGUAAAGCUCUAGCAGCAGGGAAGAAAAUGACGGUACCUGACGAAGAAGCCCCGGCUAACUACGUGCCAGCAGCCGCGGUAAUACGUAGGGGGCAAGCGUUAUCCGGAUUGACUGGGUGUACAGGGAGCGUAGCCGGCAGCGCAAGUCUGAAGUGAAAUCCCAGGGCUUAACCAUGGAACUGCUUUGGAAACUGUGCAGCUGGAGGGCAGGAGAGGUAAGCGCACUUCCUUGUGUAGCGGUGAACUGCGUAGAUAUUAGGCGGAACCCCAGUGGCGAAGGCGGCUUACUGGACUGUAACUGCCGUUGCGGCUCGAACGCGUGGGGAGCAACCAGGAUUAGCUACCCGUGUAGUC